GGGCUGGGGAAGCACAAGGAGGAAUUGCAGGAGGAUAGACUGAGGGCAGCUGCGGUUGGAUCUAAGCCCCAGCGCAAAUGAAUGAAAGCUCCUUGAGGGUAAGAACUGUUCUUAUCCACAGCAUCUGCACAAUGCCCGGCACAUAGUAGGAGUUCUAGACUACCCACUGGCAAACCUCUGUCCAGGAAGACUUUCAACUGGCUAAGCAAGUCAUCAUCUUCAGAUGGAGGCUUAAUGCUUG